GUAUAAGUUACAAAACUGAAAAAGGGAGGGUUCGAAAAGGGGACUUCGCAGCGGCGAGAUUUCAACCUGGAAACUGUGCUUUCUCUUCGGUGGUGAGACUGCUUGAGCGGCGACGAUGAUCGACGGUUCGAAGGGGAAGGGUUUCAUUCUCUUCUCUUCGAUCUGAAAAAAUAUUAGUUCGAUUCUUGAGAGUGCCUUGGAUGACAAAGGGCAGGGACAGACCAUGACUUCACUACAACUGUUCUGUUCUUAAACGUGAUUUCUAUCCCAGAUAUAUUACUUACUCAAAGGAGGAGGAAGCGGUUCGAUGUAUUCAAUCAGUGCAUGGGUUUACCUUGGAUGGUAGAUCAUUGAGGGCAUGCUUUGGAACCACAAAGUAUUGUCAUGCCUGGCUGAGAAAUGUGUCUUGCAGCAAUCCUGAUUCUAUAUUUGCAUGAGAUUGGCACACAAGAAGAUAGUUUCACUAAAGAUGAAAUAAUAUCAGCAUACACAAGCCCAAUCUGCUGGUUGUUGACCUAAAUCUUCCAGUAGCAUCCAGUUUAGUUGGCGAACACGAACUAGAAUUUGCGUUGGGAUUGCACGGGGACUUGCCAUUCUUCAUGAGGAAGUGCGACCACAUAUUGUUCAUCGAGAUAUCAAAGCUACCAAUAUUCUCCUUGACAAAGACUUGACACCCAAAAUUUCAGAUUUUGGUCUACCAAAACUUAUCCCAGCCAACAUGACUCAUGUCAGUACCUGUGUGGCAGGAACAAUAGCACUGUUGGCUGAUGGUUGUUACUUGUUGGUCUGCUGCUGCUGUUGCUGCCGGUGUGCUGCUGCAGAAUUUUGCUGGGCUACUGCUGCUGCUGCUGCAAUGUUAUUGUGAAGCGGGCUGCUACUAGAUGAUGGUCUGCUGCAAAUUUGGGUUAUUAGUUUCAUGUUUUCAUUUUGUUAUUUGUUGUUUUUACUAUGGGUUCAUAAUUUGGAUGAAUUUGAGUAUUUUAGUGAGUUUACCCGUUCAAAUUUUAUACACCGCUUCCAAAAGCAUAUUUUUCAACAGUGUUUUUUGGCCUACACAUCAACUUUAGGUGAUUUAAUAUCAAUGUUAUUAGUUUGUAAUAGUAGUGCCUGAGGGAUGCCUCUUGUAAAUAUGUACAUCUUAUAAAAAAAUAUAAAUGAUUUUCAAUUUUUUUUGCCGCUA